GGUUUCCGUAGGUGAACCUGCGGAAGGAUCAUUAGUGAAUUAUUGGGCGUCUACUUGUAGAGCCUGACCUCCACUUCUAACACUGUGCACUUGAUGGCGAGGUAAUGGAACUUUCGAGUGAAACUACCUUGCGGCUUCAUUUUAAACAUUAGUCAAAGUAUGUAAUGAAAUAAAAAACAAAAAAAAACUUUCAACAACGGAUCUCUUGGCUCUCGCAUCGAUGAAGAACGCAGCGAAAUGUGAUAAGUAAUGUGAAUUGCAGAAUUCAGUGAAUCAUCGAAUCUUUGAACGCACCUUGCGCUCCCUGGUAUUCCGGGGAGCAUGCCUGUUUGAGUGUCAUGAACUCUUCAACCCACCAGUUUCUAGUAGACUGCGUUGGUGUUUGGAUUUUGAGCGUUGCUAGUCUGACUAGCUCGUUCGUAAUAUAUUAGCAUCUCUAAUUCGAAUUCGGAUUGACUCAGUGUAAUAGACUAUUCGCUGAGGACACUUUUAUUAGUGGCCGUACUAGAACCAGUAGAAGCUUCCAACUAUUGUAGUCAACUUUAAUUUAGACCUCAGAUCAGGCAGGAUUACCCGCUGAACUUAAGCAUAUCAAUAAGCGGAGGAA
rnacentral:rRNA from 1 species